GGUGUACCGUCACCAGAAACAGUACCAGUUGGGUUUACGGAUGUCGUUGCGGGCGAUCCUUGGCCUUGUUGUGGAGUUGCAGGUGUACCGUCACCAGAAACAGGACCAGUUGGGUUUACGGAUGUCGUUGCGGGCGA